UACGUAGGGGGCAAGCGUUAUCCGGAUUUACUGGGUGUAAAGGGAGCGUAGACGGCAAAGCAAGUCUGAAGUGAAAGCCCGGGGCUCAACCCCGGGACUGCUUUGGAAACUGUUCUGCUAGAGUGCUGGAGAGGUAAGCGGAAUACCUAGUGUAGCGGUGAAAUGCGUAGAUAUUAGGAGGAACACCAGUGGCGAAGGCGGCUUACUGGACAGUAACUGACGUUGAGGCUCGAAAGCGUGGGGAGCAAACAGG
rnacentral:rRNA from 1 species